rnacentral:rRNA from 1 species
GACGAACGCUGGCGGCGUGCUCAACACAUGCAAGUCGAACGGAAAGGCCCUGCUUUUGUGGGGUGCUCGAGUGGCGAACGGGUGAGUAACACGUGAGUAACCUGCCCUUGACUUUGGGAUAACUUCAGGAAACUGGGGCUAAUACCGGAUAGGAGCUCCUGCUGCAUGGUGGGGGUUGGAAAGUUUCGGCGGUUGGGGAUGGACUCGCGGCCUAUCAGCUUGUUGGUGGGGUAGUGGCUUACCAAGGCUUUGACGGGUAGCCGGCCUGAGAGGGUGACCGGCCAACAUGGGGACUGGGCACGGCCCCGGCCCCCUCGGGGGGGGAGCGGGGGGGAUUUGGGAACAGGGGGCGGAACCCGUAGCCACCACCGCCGGGGGGGGGAUGGGGGCUUUGGGUUGGAAACCCGCUUGCGCCUGGGACGAGGUGGGGGGGAGGGAAGGGGAUAAAGAACCCCGGGCAAACUCGGUC